rnacentral:rRNA from 1 species
CCUACGGGUGGCAGCAGUGGGGAAUAUUGCACAAUGGGGGAAACCCUGAUGCAGCGACGCCGCGUGAGUGAAGAAGUAUUUCGGUAUGUAAAGCUCUGUUAGCAGGGAAGAAAAUGACGGUACCUGACCAAGAAGCCCCGGCUAACUACGUGCCAGCAGCCGCGUUAAUACGGAGGGGGCAAGCGUUAUCCGGAUUUACUGGGUGUAAGGGGAGCGUAGACGGUAGGGCAAGUCUGGGGUGAAAGGCGGGGGCUCAAGCCCCGAACUGCUCUGGAAACUGCCAGGCUGGAGUGCAGGAGAGGUAAGUGGAAUUCCUAGUGUAGCGGUGAAAUGCGUAGAUAUUAGGAGGAACACCAGUGGCGAAGGCGGCUUACGGGACUGUAACUGACGUUGAGGCUCGAAAGCGUGGGGAGCAAACAGGAUUAGAUACCCUAGUAGUC